rnacentral:rRNA from 1 species
UGGGGAAUAUUGCACAAUGGAGGGAACUCUGAUGCAGCGACGCCGCGUGAGUGAUGAAGGAAUUCGUUUCGUAAAACUCUGUUCUAUGGGAAGAAAAGGACUGUACCAUAGGAGAAAGCUCCGGCUAAAUACGUGCCAGCAGCCGCGGUAAUACGUAUGGAGCGAGCGUUGUCCGGAAUUAUUGGGCGUAAAGGGUGCGCAGGCGGCUUUACAAGUUGGAUGUGAAAUAUUGUGGCUCAACCACAAACGUGCAUCCAAAACUGCAAAGCUUGAGUUUAGGAGAGGUAAGUGGAAUUCCUGGUGUAGCGGUGGAAUGCGUAGAUAUCAGGAGGAAUACCGGUGGCGAAGGCGACUUACUGGACUUAAACUGACGCUCAGGCACGAAAGCGUGGGGAGCAAACAGG